rnacentral:tRNA from 3 species
GCGGGUAUAGCUUAAUGGCAAAGCUCCAGCCUUCCAAGCUGAUCAUGCGGGUUCGAUUCCCGCUACCCGCU